AGGGAUUGAUCUUUUGGCUAAGCUCAAGUGUGGUAUCUGUUCUUAUCAGUUUAACAUCUGAUACCUCCUGUAUCUGAGGACAGUGUAUUCCAUUGAUUUGGGGAGCGGGGGCUAGAAUAAGAGCUUGCUUUGGGUACUCCAUUCAUCGUUUCCCUGGUCCCCGGGUGCUUAACGGGGUUGAUAUACU
ensembl:snRNA U2 U2 spliceosomal RNA